ensembl:ncRNA lncRNA:CR42721 long non-coding RNA::CR42721
CAUUCGGCUGGGAUCUUUUGGCCAGGAUGCAGUGGCCCAGAUUCCGCGGCUCCAGCGCCCAUUUUCCAACUGUUUCCACAUCCUCAACGACGAACGCGGUUGUAAACAAAGGCCGUGGUGUUGGUUUUACGAGUUGAUGAUGGCUGGUGAUGAUGAUGCUCGGCUCUGUGACUCAAGGAGCUGUCAUCGCAAUAAAACGCGGGCAGCGGCACGUGAAAUUCGAUUGGGACGCACGGCCGUAAGGACGCCAGUGAAGCCCCACAAUAUCCUGGAACGGGUUAAGAAUGCAAACAAAUUUAAAUAUUAAAUGCGAUGCGAGCGGUGGACAAAGGUAACUAUUCAGAGGUGAAUGUUGCUGCUCGGCAGUGGGUUUGUUUGGUGUCCUUCCAGGGCGACAGGACAUCUGCUCGACUGCCCACGUCCAGAACCGCGCAGAAGUAACCAAAUCGCCCGACGACCAACGACCAACUUUUGGCCCAAGUACACUUGGCUGUCUGCCGUUUUGCUGGCUUCUGUUUCUGUGCGCGAAGUUUGUCGUGUUUUUCCAAAUUGUUAUUUUACUUUUUCUACAAAAUUUCUCAACGCCCCGAAGGCAGAUAUGCUGCCAAAAGUUUUCCUCCACCAUAUUUAUGGCAGUUCUUCUUACUUCCCCGUUCACCACGGAAUGGCUGCUUCCGGCUAUCUCGCCCGCCGGAUGGGAUCUCCAAUUGUAACGCUCCCGUGACCUACCCUGUAGUUCCGGGCUUUUGUUUAAAUGGCGUUCGGCACAUUGUCGGACUGCUGGCUCGAUUAUCAGAAGCUCGUCUCUACAGGUAUCUCACAGGGUAGAAAGAAACCUCAAUAUGAGUGAACUGAAGUAACUGAAAAUGAGACUUCUUUUAUAAAACUUCUUUUAUUUUACUCCCGAUACUGAUAUCUUUUCGAUGAAGAUGAAGUGUAAGUGUAAUUGAAAAACUUUCAAACUAAAAUUUUAGAAAAUCAUAUUUUUAAAGCCUUAACUUUCAAUGAUUUUGUGAUUUUUAGAAACCAUGCUUUUAGUAGACGCACGAGUUCAGUUCUCGUUUACUUUCCACAUCACCACCCAUUAACACUUUACAUGAUUUUUCACCCCAUUUUUGGCAGAACUUCAACAUUAGCUUUCAGCGUCUCUGAUUUUCCUUUUUAUGCCGCAGAAAUACAAAAGCGAAGGGCAUGGAUUGCGAGGCAAGGGAAAAGACAUCAAACCCCAAAGCAAAUACCAGACAUAAACAAGGCAAACACCAUGCGGCGUAUACUUAAUAUCAGGCGCAAACGAGCAGGACCAGUACCAGGACCCACCUAUAAACGUCAUCAUAACCCAGCAAACAACGGGGACGCGGAAAUGAGGAAAAAAAACACCACGUCAGGCCCAUCGAAAUCAUUAUUUAUGUAGGAAAACGUGGCGAGCUGACCCAGCUCCUUUCGGAAUUUUCUCUCUCUUCCUGACAGCAUCUGCAGACAAUAGCUUCGGCGUGUUUGUAUAUGCGGUUUCACUUCCUCUGCGAGUCGUGUUGUGAUUUUCGCCUCUGAUUUUCCACCGUUUUCCAGCACUUUACGGGGGAAUUUGGCUAAGUGAAGCGCAACUUUUACGUGGGCCUGAAUUAUUAAUAAACGUUAAAAGGCAACGCCAAUUGCUGAGCCAGCGCUCAGACACCAGCAGCAUUUUCCCUUCGAUUUCCACAGGUAUUUGAAGGUGUUCUUCCGCUAGUUCUCUGGUUUCCCGUACCGUAGUUGAGUUGAUGUUUUAUGUGCUAAGUAGUUGGUAAGUCACCUGCGACAAGUUGGCUGAAAGCUUAAUGCUUCCUUGGCGUUUUUUCUUCCUCAUCUGGUUUUUCUUACAGUC